rnacentral:tmRNA from 1 species
GGGGGCGAACAGGUUUCGACGGAGAUAGUGAGGCAGAGGUAGCAUGUCGAGAUUCCACCCACCUCGUAAAAAGGUGGACCAAACUAAGUGCAGAAAAUCUGCCCAUCGCUGCCUAGGCAAUAGGCAUGCCGUUUCUCAGAUUCUUUCCUGCGGAGCUUGGGAAACGCCGACCAGCAGGAUGGCGAUCCGGGUAUGUCCUGGACCUGGUGAGUGAGACUCAAACAGGGCUGGUUCCUUUGCGAUUUGCUUCUUCAGUCGCUGGGGAAUGAGAUGACGAAGAAGAUAAACAUGUAGAGACUAUCUGCUGAUUAUCUUCGGACGCGGGUUCGAUUCCCGCCGCCUCCAUAU